CCAAAGUGCUGGGAUUACAGGCUUGAGCCACCGCGCCCGGCCUAUUUAUUUAUUUAUUUAUUUAUUUAAUUCACAUAGUUCCAGCCACUCUGCAACUGCUGCCUGUCUUAACUGUGGUGGAUGCAAGGGUGUGCUGCCCAGAUUGCCCCUUUCAGAACCAAGGAGCGUGUUUCCCCAGCUGCCAGAAGAAGCAUCACCUGUGGACCACCUAUAACCAAAUCUUCCCCAAGAAUAGCCCUCAGCUGAGAGGAUCUGCCUCACCCAAGAUUAUGCUCCUCCCCUGGUUGGCUGACAUUUGGUGACUUAUCUCAAUUGAAGACAAAUCUGUCAAAGGACCAUUUCAGCUCCUUAGAUCUCAGUUUCAAGGUAUUUAUUCAGGCCAACUGCUGAGCAUGGAGCUGUGCUCAACACUGAAGAAAGCAGAGCCAGCAGUUUUUUCUUGCCUCUGACAGCAUCCAGACUUCCCUUUUUGCUUCUGCGAUCUGUCAAUCUGCUGCAUGAGCUGACAGAAGCUGUCACUGCAAUGGGUAAUAAUGCCUUCAGACUCAGGCUGAGACAGCAGAUUUUUGGGACUUCCUGCCUUCUAUAAUUAUGUGAGUUGAUUCCCAGAAUAACUCUCUCUAUAUAUAUCUAUAUAUCUCUUUCUAUUUAUCUUCUAUUGGUUCUGUUUCUCUGGACAAUUCUGACCAAUACAGAUGUAUACUGCUGUUUAGCAUCUGAGUGGAACAAAAUUACAACUGCUACAUUUGUUUAAAGAAAACCUAUAGGAAUGUCAAUCUAAUGCUUCCAUCUCUUACAUAAAUAUAAUGGUGCUAAGUAAAAGUUUAGUAUUUAUAAACCUCUGUUUAUUAUGUAUAUAGUAUAGCCAUUAUGGACUAAUAUAAAUAAAUGAGAUAAGAUAGGAUCAAAGGUUUUUUGAAACAGACCAAAAUGAACGUGUGAAAAUCAGGUGCUUGAAACAUGUGAUAACCUACAUUUAUUUAUCUCUUUAAAGUUAAGUGGUUUGCUCCUCACAACAAUGCUGAGAGUUGAACAGAGCAAAUACUCUAUUAUCUCUGUUUUACAGAUUUAAGGCUUACAGAGAUUAAAUAAUUAUUCAAGAUCAUUCAGUGACAGAGCUGAAAUUUGAACACCAGCCUCUCUUUUACCUCAAAAUCUGAAGCUCUUUCCAGUGCACUGUCCUGCCUUUUCUGUGAUUUCACCAUGCCAGGUUCCUGAGACAGAUUGUAAAUGCAAGAAAAAAAUGAACUAAUGCGAGUGUUUCAUAUCAUGUUCUCUUUUCAAGUGAAUUAAUUAAAGAAUUGGGUUUUGGAUUAAAGUGUGUGAAUUUCAUGA